UGCAUCGUAAUAUUGCUCAAUGUUCCAGAAAAGUCAGGAUUCCUUCACGAUUUGCAUGUGGAGCUUCCAACUUUUGUUUAUUUUUAAUGCGUCAUGUGUUUAAUCGUGUGAUGGUCCUUCUAUAUCUUUGGAAAAGCUCUGAUAAAGAAAUCUUGAUGUAAAUUUAUACGCUGCUAUAGCUAGCUAAUGUUCAUGUCAAUACGCCAUUUCCUAGUAUUUCUCACUGUUAUUGCUUUUGUUUGUCAUUUGGAUAUCAGCUCUGGUGUAAGGCUAUCUUGUGCAGCAUGCCCGAAGGGUGCCUUUGCAAAUCAAACAUUACCUCCCUGUAAAAAUUGUAAUAAAACUGGUUUUUGCAAUGGGGCUGUAAACUGUACAAAAUGCCCAGCUGGAAGUUUUCAAAAUGCGACUGGGCAAGCAUUGUGUAAACAAUGUCUUCCUGGGUAUAUUAGCAGUAAAGCAGGUGGCUCAGUUUGUUCUGCAUGUAUACCAGGAGAAUAUCAACCUAAGAAAGGUGCUAUUGCCUGUUUAAAAUGUGCACCAGGAAAUUUUUCAAGUGGAUCGCAUAGUGUGCAAUGUAAAACCUGUUCUGCUGGGUCCUUCAGCAAGUCACCAGGUUCAAAAGCUUGUACUCCAUGUUCCAAAGGUCAUUAUCAAUCAAAGGAAGGUAGCACCUCAUGCCAACCUUGUCCUGCAGGACAAUUUUCAAAUGUAACAAAAAGCACAAAAUGUCAAAACUGCUCUGCAGGAACAUGUUCAAGUGUCACUGGAUCAAUUUUAUGUACAGAAUGCAAAGCAGGCUCAUAUCAACCAUCUCCUGGUAACAAGGCAUGUCCACCUUGUCCAGCUGGCCAUUAUUCAGGAUCAGCAAAAAGCAUUAAAUGUGAAGAAUGUUCUGCAGGAACUUUUGCAAGUAAAGAAGGGUUGACAGCCUGUUCAGAUUGCAAAGCAGGAUAUUAUCAACCAAAUAAAGGAGCCGAGGGCUGUCUGGAAUGCAAACCAGGCCAUUUUUCAAGUAAAAGCAGAAGUACUGGAUGUGAAGAUUGCUCAGCAGGCACGUUUACAAACUCCAGCAAAAUGACAAAAUGCCUCAAGUGUGAAGCUGGGUAUUAUCAACCCAAUAAGGCAUCAAGUUCAUGUUUAGCUUGUAAACCUGGGUAUAUUUCAAGUGCUGUUCAAAGUAUCAAAUGCGAACCUUGCUCUUCUGGAACAUUUGCUAACGUAUCAGCAUUAACCAAGUGCUACAAUUGUCUAAAAGGUUAUUAUCAACCCAAAAAGGCAUCAAGUUCAUGUUUAGCUUGUAAACCUGGGUAUAUUUCAAGUGCUGUUCAAAGUAUCAAAUGCAAACCUUGCUCUCCUGGAACAUUUGCUAACGUAUCAGCAUUAACCAAGUGCUACAAUUGUCCAAAAGGUUAUCAUCAACCCAAUAAGGCAUCAAGUUCAUGUUUAGCUUGUAAACCUGGGUAUAUUUCAAGUUCUGUUCAAAGUAUCAAAUGCAAACCUUGCUCUCCUGGAACAUUUGCUAACGUAUCAGCAUUAACCAAGUGCUACAAUUGUCCAAAAGGUUAUUACAAUACCUUAUCAAAUGCAACCAAAUGUCUCGCCUGUGGUAAUGGAACAUACCAAAGCAGCGAGGGAAAAACGUCGUGUGAAGUAUGUCCUGUUGGUUAUGUGUGUAGUCAUUCAGGCUGUAGUGAGUGUAUGUUAUGUCCAGGUGGUCAAGAUACAAACUUUAAACCUGGACAAAUGAAAUGUUCUGAAUGUCAAAACGGUUUUUUUCAAACCCGAAGGAACAGUUUCCUGUCAGCCGUGUCCUAGUGGAUAUUAUCAAGUUCAUUUUGGAAGCAGAAGUUGUGUAGAGUGCCCUCGCGGGUUUUAUUGUCCGAACGCAGGUCAGGGACCUGUGGCUUGCUCCUAUGAUGAGUCAUGUCCUCCUGGUAGUGUCGAACCUGGUGAUCCCUGUCCAGAUUUGUAUGAG
rnacentral:misc_RNA from 1 species